AGCUUUAUAAUAUUUUGGUUGUGCUAUGCAGAGUAUUAUUUUAAAUUAUAUAUAUUCUUGCUUACAAUAGGGAUUAUAAAUACCUCAAUUGAAAUGUUCCUUAAUGACCAUGGUACAGAUAUUUGAGUACAAAUUAUUGGAAUACGAAAGAUGCUUAGGAUAAAUGAAUUAGGCUAAGUUUUAUCGGACUGUGAUAUGAGCAUUGUUUUGUUACGUAAGGAAUGUCUUAGGUAUUAUCAAUUAAAGAAAAUUUAAUUGGAUCUUUAGAUGACAAUUUUAUUAUCUUAGAUAAUGUGGUUGUAAUAGCGUUGUUCAAUAAAUAAACAUAAAUAAAA